GAAAGCCCCACAGUGCCAUUUGCCAUCUGAAAGGGGAACCGUGGUGAGGAGAGGAAGGGAGUGGGAGGAAGCCAAGACGGUGGCCGGGGGCGGCAGCAUUUGCAGGUGGCAGGAAGAGGCUUUUGGGAGAAAGUAAAAGUGAACAGAGGAAGAAAAGAGCAAAAAAAAACCCCAGCGGGACAGGGGCUCCGGGUGGCACGAGCAAGCCCCACGCAGAGCACCCCAGGGCCCUCGUCAUGAUGCUCCCGUUGUCCCCGGGGCCGAGGUCCUUGGGGCGGCAGUUGGAGCAGGGGGGAGAGGGACGGUGUUUGUGCCCCCCAGCCCGGCCGCCCCCGCCCCACACUCCCACAGCCAGGGCCCGUGGGCAGCCCCCAGGGGUGGUCCCCAUGGCUGGACCCCGCAGCUGGUCCCCACAGGACGUCCCCAUGCUUGGUCCAGGUGCUCGAUCCCAUGUCCAUGAGCUACCCCCAUGGCCAGUGCCAUGGGCAUUACGCGGUGCCUGCUCCCCUUGGCUGGUCCCCACAGCUGGUCCCCUGCCUGGUCCCUGCCCCAGUCCCCAUGCCUGGUGCCCAUACCAGGUCCCCAAGGCUGGUCAGGGUGCCUGGUCCCUGCAGCUGGUCCCUCCACCCGGUCCCCACACCCAGACCCCAUAGCAGGUCCCCAGACCCUCUACCCAGCCCUCACACCCCGUGCCCAUUGCUGGCUGCUACACCCAUCCCCACACCUGGUCCCCAGCCCUGCUCUCCAGGCGGGCAGGGCUCCGCAGGCAGCAUCACUGGGAGCCCAUGGGCCACAUGCCAUCACCGGGGCCAUCGCUGGCCUCUCCCUCCCCACCGGGGCCAUCAUCAGGCUCACCAUCCCUACCAGGGCCAUCACCGGGGCCAUCAUUGGGCUCACCAUCCCCACUGGGGCCAUCACCGGGGCCAUCCCUGGGCUCGCCAUCCCCACCAGGGCCAUCACCGGGGCCAUCCCUGGGCUCACCACCCCCACUGGGGCCAUCCCUGGGCUCACCAUCCCCACCGGGGCCAUCACUGGGGCCAUCCCCACCGGGGCCACCCCCAGGCUCACCACCCACACCAGGGCCCUCCCCAGGCACACCAUCCCCACUGGGGCCAUCACUGGGGCCAUCCCCGGGCUCACCAUCCCCACCGGGGCCAUCCCCGGGCUCACAACCCCCACCGGGGCCCUCCCCAGGCUCACCAUCCCCACCGGGGCCAUCACUGGGGCCAUCCCCGGGCUCACCAUCCCUACCGGGGCCAUCCCCGGGCUCACCAUCCUCACUGGGGCCAUCACCGGGGACAUCACCGGGUUCACCAUCCCCACCGGGGCCAUCGCCGGGGCCAUCCCCAGCUGGGGGGGUCAACACCCACCACCACAGCAGCCCCAUCCCACUACAGCUUGGGGCGCCUGUCCUGGACCCCAUCCCUGGGACAGAGCCCCUUCAGCAGAAGGAAAUCCACCCCCCUCCCCCCCAUCGCCCCGGCCUUUCUUCUCCGCUCCCCCUGUUUCUAAUUCUUUUUCCUCGCCCGUAAUGAGGGGAUUACAAGGCAAACUCCAGCAGGACGCCUUUGUGGGGAGACAAUCUGAGUGGGGAAGGCAGUUCGGGGCUUUGUCCGCCGCCGCCCCCCCGGACCCGCGCUGGGGGGACAUUUAGAGCAAUUACUUGUCCAGAAAGUAACUGUCAAUCAUUCUUAAAGGGGAAGGCCUCCAAUUAAUAACCUCGUCUUAAUCCUUUGGACUCAUUUCCAAUCUGCGGUGCCUUGGUGACAUCUGCAACACUAAAUAAAGAUUCUCCCGAGCCUUAGCGCGGUGGUUCUGUGACAAAUAAGAAGACUAGAGGCAACUUUGGCUGCCAAAGCUGCGAGAUUGGUGAGGUUGAGCCGCUUGUUUGGUUCCCAGGAGGGACCGGCAAAGUUAAAUACUCCUGGAAAAGCCGAGUUGGGCCCAGCAGGUGCGGAGCUGCGCAAAUGAGAAGCGGG